rnacentral:lncRNA from 1 species
UGAAUGCGAAUUGGGCAGGAAGGGGCGCCAAGACGACCUGUUGAAAUCGGAGAUGUCUUUGGAGACUGGAGCGGAGAGGAAAAUCGAAGCCAUAAAUGCAGGUGGAUUAUUCAGAUCAAACUUGACCGAGAAAGUUGAGGGAGAGGAGAAAGAACCCCAAUUUAGUUUAUCCCCGAGAAAAUUGUGAUCAAAUCUAGGGUUGGUGGAUGUUUGGGCACUAGGGAGGGAAUUGAAAAAGAUCAGAUGCAGCAGGUAUCGAGAAUUGAGAUCACUCGAAUCGAGUGAUAACGGGAAGACGGAGAAAAUGUUUUCUUUGUUUGUAUCGCCAUCUUAGCAAUUAGGCAGACAGUCCAAACCCGGCCCAUUAAAGUAUGAAAAAAUAGAGGCCCACGGCCCAUUAAAGUAUGAAAAAGUAGAGGCCCACGGCCCAUUAUAGAACUGGAAUAUUCGCUGCCGUCAGCAAUGUAUUAUUUUAUUAUAUAAAGAAAUGAUUUUAGGCAAGGUGUCGAUUUUCGAUGUUUCAGACAUCCAUGCUGUCAGAGUCAGUCUUAUAGUAUUUUGAAUUAUAUUGAUUAAAUGAGAUUUAUUUUGACUAAAAAUCGAUCAGAGAUAUCAACGAUAGAUUAGAUAGGGUUUAAGUUAGGGUUAAAUAAGAUAUAUCUCAUGUUUAGGGAUUAAACAUAUUUAUAUCAUACCCAAUCGCGAUUCAGCACCAAGUGAAACAGGUGUCGUGAACGUAGCGACACCUGGAGUAGCAGUUGUCGUCACCUAAUUGGGUUAUGAGGGCUAUAAACCCCCCCUCGUUCACUCCUCAAGACAGUUAAACAAACUAAACCAGAGAACUUCAACCCUCCUCAUUACCGACUCCAUCUCCUUUGCCGAUCCAACACCGCUUCAGUCCUCCCCAACCAACAUGAACACAAACAUCUCAUAAACCUUAUUGUUUCAUAUAAAUCGUUUCCCAAUUAUAUAUACUCCCGCCUUACUCGGUUAGGUGUAGAUGAUUUUGGAAUGACGUCUGAGCAAAAGGAGUUAAGAUCGGAGCUAGAUCAGAGAGCCAGAAAAGGAGAGACUGUUGUUCCCGGUGGAGCUGGCGGAAAGAGUCUGGAAGCACAGGAGCAUCUUGCUGAAGGAAGAAUUCGGAGAGGACAGAAAAGAAAGCAACAACUGGACGUAAGAUAAGUACCGUAUCAUAGGGAAAAAUGAUGGGGCAAAGCUCUUAUUGGAUACAUCAUGACCAUGACAUGUAGGCAGUAGCAUACCUACAUGUCGGUAGAUACAUCUAAUGGAUAUCUCAUGUUCUAGGAAAAAAGUUCUGUCCACCUUUUUCCUAUGAUACGGUACCUAUCUACGCUCUGUUGCUUCCUUUUCUGUCCUCCCCGGAUUUUUCCUAUCGCACGGUAACUUGGUAAUGAAUAACGUUGAUCUCAUCAACCAUAACCAGAUAGUAGUAUUCUGGUCUUGUACAGUACAGUUUUCUUCCAAUUUUGUACAUGCAAUAAAGUUUGUAGACAGUAUGCAUUAUAUAUAUAUUUUUUGUUAAUUUACUUGAGUCCCAAAUCUGCAUUGCGCUGGAACUUAUGCUUGUGUUUGACUUUAUUGUGCUUGUAAACCAGCUUGGCAGUGUCGAUGCAACUGAUCUUCAAUAGUAACUCACUUGUGCUUCUUUUGUUCUGUUGUUUCUUUCCGUUUAGAUUACCCAUGUUGCCGUUACAGUCCAUUGGACCCCCCAUGCCGGUGCGUCAUGUACGAAAUUCAAUAUGUAUGUCAGUAGUUGGAAAUUCACCAGCCUUGUACAAUGUUUCCCGGCUGCCAGUAAAACAUAAUGUAAUAUCCAAUUCAAGAACCCACAUUUGAAGAAGGUGUGCGAUAUUGAUUCACAUUCGAUUUUCCUCUUGAAAUUAAACGAUAGAUUUUCGGUAGCCUCUGCCAACGAAGUCUCCAUAGGAAGACAUUUGCUUUUUUAAUCGGUGACGUCCAAAUUCCUGCCGCUACCUCAUCGACCGGUCUCCUCUGUCUAACUGGUUCGCCAAUAUUCGCAAGUGAUUUGCUGCUGCCUACUUCCUUUCAAACGAAUUGGUUGUGUGCUUCACAAUCCAUACAUUAUUGAGCUCAGAAUUAGAUCACACAAGGCAUGAGAGAAUAAAAUCUGAAUAACGACUUAAAAUGGAAAGAGAAAAAUACCAUGGUAAUCUGAUGUAGCUUGCUCCUAAAGCAAAAUUUCCUAUCCAUCCAUUUUGCUUAAGCUAUGAAAAACAAUCACCAGAUGUCAGGUUCACUUAUAUAAAACCUUAUAUUCUCUUUCCCAAUUUACAUAACUUCUAAGAACGUAAUUUUUUUAUUAUCAAGCCUAAGAAUAUUAUGAAAAAACAAAGAGGAAAUUAAGGUAUCUUAAGUAUGCACCUUCAGAGAAGGUGCAGAAUAAAAAUAUAAGAAAGCAAUGAACCACCAACAGAUAGAUAGAAAAUGGUAGGGGUCGUAUGUCCUGCCUAUAAUGAUACGAAUUUUGUUGAUGUUAAAACUGAUAACCCCCUCCCUCCCAAAAAAUAAAAUAAAUCAAAAUAAAUACCCAUAUAUCGAGUAAAGCUCCCAAUCCAAGCCCUCCUAAGAGUAAAACCCAGAUUUGGGUUAUGACUUGAACCAUAAAAAUAGCUCCAAUUACAAAUAGCAAUGCAUUGGUAACAAUUUUAACUAACUACUAUUAUUAUAACUGACUCUUUCUGGUAUUAUAUCAUUACAUUAACAUAUAUCUAAUACUACUUUUGUUAUAAUUGGAAAAAGUUCAGUUCUACUGUAAUUACAGGUAGCAAUGAAUAACUUCUGUAAUGAACAAUUUAAUUCAUUAUUUCAUUUAUUGUAAAGAUUUUUUUAAUUAAUUUUGAAAAUUGAAAAGUAGUCUCAAAAUGUUAGUAUGAAUUAGAGAAUAUUGAAUAAAAACAGAAAUAGUUAGGAAAGUAGUGGGUUGUUAACAUUUACUUUUUGAGUAUGAUAAAUGAAGUUGGGAUCCAGUAGAACAACCACGGUUCCAUUACGCAAUUCAUUCUUCUUAUUCUUCCAUCGUCUUCUACAAUUCACCUCCUAAUUCCUGUCAUGGUAUCAUCGUCAGGUACCGAUGCUUCCGCAAACUCUGAUGGAUCCGUCACUCGUGGGGAACCGGCUCUUCAUGUGAAGAAGCUAUCUUUCGUCACCCUCAACAAAGACAAUUACGUCUCGUGGAAAGCUCAGGCCACCUGUGUUUUAAUCGGCACAAAUUUACUAAAAUAUGUGGAAGGUGAAGUUGAGUUAAACAACUCACCGGUGUGUAGGCGACAAGACCAAUUGUUCUUGGGAUGGUUAUUCCAAGUUCUAUCGCCAAAUAUCCUGUCGCAAGUGGCGAGGCUAACCACAUCCGCUGAAGUGUGGAAAGCAUUGGCGACCUUGUAUUCAUCUGGAUCAGUCAUGCGGAUCUUAUUUCUUCGACAGCAAUUCUUGACAGUAAAGAAAGGGGGAAUGUCAAUGGCCUCCUACAUCGCACACGUGAAAUCACUGAUAGAUGAGUUGCAGAUGGUGGGAAAGAAAAUCACCGAAGCCGACAAGAUCAUCACAACGGUUGGAGGUUUGGGGCCAGAGCACUCGGCGUUUGUCCACUCGAUCACCACCCGCUUCGGCACCAGUAUGACCUUCGUCGACCUUCAGGCGCUGCUCACAGACUUGGAGUUGCGCCAGCCGGAGGAGAAUCAAUCGGUGUUGUCCUCCCUCACUGCCAACGUCGCGGAUGUGAAAUCGGGCGCUCCUGCCCACAUUGCAAAAUCAGGGGAACGAUCUGGAAAUUUGGGCGUGAAAAAUAACCCAUGCCAAAUCUGUAAUAGAAAAGGGCAUGGGGCAUUAAAUUGCUUUGAUCGGUUUAAUGCAAUUAAAUUUUAUCCUACUCAUAAUAGGAAGUUAAUUGUUGUGGGGCUGUCACAAUCGCCGUCGGCCAAUUUUGUCUCCAAACAGUCUGAGGGGGUGUCUUCCAUUUUGUAUCCAGAUUCGGGUGCCUCAACACAUAUAACAGGUAUAAGGAAUAAUUUGCAGAUGGCUAGCUCUUACAAUGGUCCGAUCACCAUUACUAUAGCUAGUGAUGAUGGUAUGAAAAUUUCUCACUCCGGGAAAUCUGAGUUUUCAAGUGGACAGAGAAUAUUUUCACUUAACGAAUUAUUAUGUGUCUACAGCUUCCAAAAAUUUAUUGUCAGUAUAUCAGUUUUGUAUUGAUAAUAACGUGCUUUUGGAAUUUGAUUCUCAGAAUGUAAGGGUAAAGGAUGUGGCCACUAAGGAGACACUGUUGGAAGGAGAUCAGGAGAAUGGCCUAUACCAGUUACCAAUUAAUAUGAGUCAAAGUCCUGCUGCAAUGUUGGGUGAGAGAAGUACUAAUAAAAUUUGGCACUGCCGAUUGGGUCACUUGCAUCAAAAGGCAGUGGAUCAGUUAGUGAAAGAAAAAUUAAUUCAAGUUUCAUGUAAGGAUUUAAAUUAUUGUAAUUUCUGUAGGGUGGGGAAGUCAUCAGCUUUGCCACACAAAAUUAAAUCAACAGUUUAUGAUAAGUCGUUGUCAUUAAUUCUGGCUGACGUAUGGGGUCCGGCCCCGUGCAUUUCAUCUGAGGGAUAUCGGUAUUAUGUGACUUUCGUAGAUGCAAGUACCAAUUACAACUGGGUAUUUCCACUUCAACGAAAAUCACAAGUUGGAGAGAUAUUUUCUAAAUUCAAAAAGAUUGCAGAAAAUCAAGCGGAGUGUUCGAUUAAAGAAUUUCAAACCGAUAAUGCAUUAGAGUUUAAGAAAAUGACUCUAAUGCUUGAGGAGUUCGGGAUCAUACAUCGUUUUCCAUGUCCCUACAGUCAUCAACAAAUGGGGACAGUUGAGCGUCGUCACAGACACUUGGUUGAUACUGCAGUCACUCUUCUUCAACAUGCAUCGUUACCUGAUAAAUAUUGAGAUUUUGCAGUAUUAACGACUACUUAUUUAUAUAAUCGUAACCCAUCAUUUACAAAUGCAGGAAAAUUCCCCUUGGAGAAAUUGUUUGGAAAGAAACCGGAAUAUGGUACCUUGAAGGUAUUCGGGUGCAAAUGUUACCCGUGUCUACGACCAUAUCGUGUUUCAAAAUUUGAUCGGAAAUCUACACCAUGCAUUUUCUUGGGAUAUCCAGCCAAUUACGAAGGGUAUAUCUGUCUAGAUCCGGUCAUUGGGAAGUUGUACAUCUCAAGAGAUGUCAGGUUUGAAGAAAAUGAUUUUUCAUUAAAUAAUUAUUUGGACAGGGACAAUGAUGAUAUUUUUCCAGAAAAUAAUGGUCUUAUUGGGAGUCCUGGAAUAGUUGAAUCUGGUCCAGCCAAUGUUGAAGCCGGUCCAAACAAUAUUUCAGAUGGGCCUAUCUUUAUUGAAAGCCCGGGUGACAUUAAUUCAGGCCCAGUCCGAGAAAAUAAUAAUAACUUGGAAGAUUUUCAGAAUGGUCCUAGUGAAGAAUUGGGCGAGGAAUCUGUUAAUUCCCAACCCGCAUCAGAGUUCUUCCCAACGACGAGCUCGAGUUUGCCGAUCACAGGCUCGCCGACAGAAUCAAGUACGAGUAUCUCGACGGAGGGGGCGGUUGCAGAAAGCCGAAUGGUCACUCGAGCACAGCGCGGGAUUGUCAAGCCCAAUCUUAAAUACACACUCUCGGUUUCACCUAGCAAUAUUCCGGUUCCAAGAUCGCCGAAACAAGCACUUCUGGUCCCAGAAUGGAAGGCGGCCAUGGUACAAGAAUUUGAGGCACUCCAGAAGAAUAACACCUGGAAAUUCAUUCCGAAGAGUCCGGAUGAUAAUGUGAUCAAUUCAUUGUGGAUUUUUAAGGUGAAACAAAAGGAGGAUGGAUCUGUAGAAAGGUUGAAAGCGCGUUUGGUAGCUAAUGGAUUCCGACAGAUAGAAGGAUCGGAGUAUAACGAGAUCUUCAGUCCGGUGGUAAAUCCAAUUUCUAUUCGAUUAGUACUUCCUAUCGCGGUUUCGAGUUCAUGGAAAUUGUCGCAACUUGACUUCUCCAAUGCAUUUUUGCAUGGUGACAUCGAAGAGAUAAUUAUCAUACAACAGCCAGUGGGGUUUAUUGAUCAGACUUCAGAGUGAAUCAUUAAAACGAGUCUAUAGAAGAAGAGAGGAAAAAAAUGAUCCUCUUUUACUGAAGAAACACUCUAAAAAAGAAGGAAAAUGAACAUUCAUCUUAACCUGGCUUAGAAUCCGUGGAACUCUCAGAAGCAUCCACCUUAGUCUUCGUUACAAAUGACAGCACCGAAAAUUCAGUGAGUUAGAAAGAAGACAGAAAAUUCAAAUCCAAGAAAGAAAAAAUGGAAAUCUUACAGCAACUGCAUUAGUGGAAAGCCUCCCCGCAUUCUGAUUUUUGGCACGACCAGAUCCUCCAACACACAGCAUCGAAGCACCUGCAUAAACCACAAGUCAGAAAGAUCUAAAAUAAAGAUGUACACCGAAACAAGAGAUCUGCAGAUCGCGUAGCAUCUCGGUGAGAUUGAGGUAAUGCGAUCUAUGCUAACCUGACAGUGAAUGCGAAUUGGGCAGGAAGGGGCGCCAAGACGACCUGUUGAAAUCGGAGAUGUCUUUGGAGACUGGAGCGGAGAGGAAAAUCGAAGCCAUAAAUGCAGGUGGAUUAUUCAGAUCAAACUUGACCGAGAAAGUUGAGGGAGAGGAGAAAGAGCCCCAAUUUAGUUUAUCCCCGAGAAAAUUGUGAUCAAAUCUAGGGUUGGUGGAUGUUUGGACACUAGGGAGGGAAUUGAAAAAGAGCAGAUGCAGCAGGUAUCGAGAAUUGAGAUCACUCGAAUCGAGUGAUUACGGGAAGACGGAGAAAAUGUUUUCUUUGUUUGUAUCGCCAUCUUAGCAAUUAGGCAGACAGUCCAAACCCGGCCCAUUAAAGUAUGAAAAAGUAGAAGCCCACGGCCCAUUAUAGAACUGGAAUAUCAGUAGUAUUG